rnacentral:rRNA from 1 species
GACGAACGCUGGCGGCGUGCUUAACACAUGCCAGUCGAACGGUGAAGCGCCUUCCUUUUUGGUGGGUGUGGAUGAGUGGCGAACGGGUGAGUAACACGUGAGUAACCUGCCCCCUUCUUCUGGAUAACCGCAUGAAAGUGUGGCUAAUACGGGAUAUUCUGGGUCUGUCGCAUGAUGGGUCUGGGAAAGAUAUUGUUUCGGUGGGGGAUGGGCUCGCGGCCUAUCAGCUUGUUGGUGGGGUGAUGGCCUACCAAGGCGGUGACGGGUAGCCGGCCUGAGAGGGUGGACGGUCACACGGGGACUGAGACACGGCCCAGACUCCUACGGGAGGCAGCAGUGGGGAAUAUUGCACAAUGGGCGCAAGCCUGAUGCAGCGACGCCGCGUGAGGGAUGGAGGCCUGCGGGUUGUGAACCUCUUUCGCCAGUGAAGCAGGCCUGCCUCGUUUGUGGGUGGGUUGACGGUAGCUGGAGAAGAAGCGCCGGCUAACUACGUG